rnacentral:rRNA from 1 species
GGGGAGGCGUAGGGAAACCGAGUCUUAAUAGGGCGUUUAGUUGCAGGCAAUAGACCCGAAACCGGGCGAUCUAUCCAUGGCCAGGCUGAAGGUUAGGUAACACUGACUGGAGGGCCGAACCCACUUAUGUUGAAAAAUGAGGGGAUGAGCUGUGGAUCGGAGUGAAAGGCUAAUCAAGCCUGGAGAUAGCUGGUUCUCCGCGAAAUCUAUUUAGGUAGAGCGUCUCAUGAAUACCAUCGGGGGUAGAGCACUGGAUGGGCUAGGGGGUCCCACCGACUUACCAAACCUAACCAAACUCCGAAUACCGAUGAGUACUAUGAGGCAGACACACUGCGGGUGCUAAGGUCCGUAGUGGAGAGGGAAACAGCCCUGACCGCCAGCUAAGGUCCCUAAGUUAUCACUAAGUGG